GUCUCUCUCUAUCUCCCCACACAUCCACCAACCACUGGAACACAUCUCCAAAGUUCUGCCAGGCCAGCUCAGCUUCCCCUCAGAAGAAGUGCCGCCACCUGCCAGAUGAAGGAGCCUUUUGAGAGGCAGCUGGCAUCGUGAUUGGACUGUACUUUGGUCUGUUCCAAUCCAGCUUCAGCUCCAGAGACGGCAGGCGGGACGAGUCAACGGAGGCCGGGUGGACGAAGGCAUGCAGCUGAGUACAAUCCAGAAAACAACAGAGGAGGAGUGCAGCGGUCCAGGGCCAGAACAAACAGAACCAAAGAACUACAGACUCUUCACAACCUGCUCAAACUCUUGGUACAGGACCUCACCACACAGGUCAAGAAGGUUUCCAUCUCAUUUCUACUCUGAAGCUCACCUUCUCCUGCUCAAACUGCUGACAAAUGUUUCUGCUGCUCUAAAGUCUGCUCUCCAGAACUUCCUAAAAACUCUCAAAGUCUCUUCUGCUGCAGGUUGCUUUGUAGAACUGUUCCAGAAAACCUCACUAAACCACAUGGAGGGGCCUCAAGAUAGUCGCCCAAAUGAAACCGUACAAAAACCAAACUAUCACAACCCAAACGCUAAAGUCUCCUGCAGCCUACCAGAGAACCUCUGAGAACAGAGAAUCAGGACAGGAACUCUUACCUUCUGGACAACCAACGUUGCUUCACAAACAAAAAUACAGAAUGUGUCUGACCAAAAACCUCUAAAGACUCACUACAGCCAAGAUAAAGACACAACUCAGCUGCACCAAAUCCACUAAUCAUUGCACACAUUAGCACCAUGUGCUAACUGUGGCUAAAGAACCACCUUUACCAAGACAACUAUCCAGUACAAAGCCCUGAAACACAACAAGAAGCACAUUAAAGACGAUUUUACUGCUGGAAGCUGCAAGUUAACGCCUAAAGAGCAAACUAAAGCAAUGGAGCCAAACCCAGUUCAGUGGUGAAGUGAAGCAGAGGAAAUGUUUGUCUGCAGCUAAAUAAAGCAGGAAGACACUGAGCUGCUCAGGUGUUCCUGAUAACACCAAGCAGCCACCUGGACAGCCAAUAGGAACACAGCUUACUGGAAGUCCAGAGGGCGGGGUUAGUGAAGGAAAUUU
ensembl:lncRNA